rnacentral:rRNA from 1 species
AUACGUAGGGGGCGAGCGUUGUCCGGAAUUAUUGGGCGUAAAGCGCACGUAGGCGGCUUGUCAAGUCAGAUGUGAAAUCCUUCAGCUCAACUGAAGAAUUGCAUUUGAAACUGGCAAGCUAGAGUGCAGAAGAGGAAAGUGGAAUUCCUAGUGUAGCGGUGAAAUGCGCAGAUAUUAGGAAGAACACCAGUGGCGAAGGCGGCUUUCUGGGCUGUUACUGACGCUGAGGUGCGAAAGCUAGGGGAGCGAACAGGAUUAGAAACCCCAGUAGUCC